UGGUCCAUCCUAAUCCCUGCUGGCCAGCCUAUGGCCUGCUAGGCUUCGCUUGUGGACCAGAGCAUCCUAGAAGCCUCUCCCAAGUUGAGCAAGGGCUUUGUGGCCUUAUGCCAGGGGCACUUCUAGACACUA
rnacentral:snoRNA from 1 species